UCUUGGUCAAUGGGCGAAAGCCUGAACCAGCGACGCCGCGUGAGUGAUGAAGGCCUUCGGGUUGUAAAGCUCUGUGGGGCGAGACGAAAGCCUACGUUCUAACAGGACGUAGUUUGACGGUAUCGCCUUAGCAAGCACCGGCUAACUCCGUGCCAGCAGCCGCGGUAAUACGGCGGGUGCGAGCGUUGUCCGGAAGCACUGGGCGUAAAGGGCGCGUAGGCGGCGCGGCAAGCGUGCGGUGAAAGCCCGGGGCUCAACCCCGGGUCGGCCGUGCGAACUGCCGGGCUCGAGCACUGUAGGGGCAGGCGGAAUUCCGGGUGUAGCGGUGGAAUGCGUAGAGAUCCGGAAGAACACCGGUGGCGAAGGCGGCCUGCUGGGCAGUGGCUGACGCUGAGGCGCGACAGCGUGGGGAGCAAAC
rnacentral:rRNA from 1 species